UUGGAGUUUAAGUGGAAAUGCUAUCAGCAGCCAGACCCUUGAUCAACACUGACAGCUUUCUAGAUAAGCUCCCUUCUGGUUCUCAGGCUCCCCGGGGGUUUCAUGCCUCCCUGGCAUGGGUGUGGUUUUCGCUCAACUGUGCCACAGUUGCUCGUGCCAGGAUGCCAGGGAAUGACUGGAUCAGAAAUAAUUAUUAACAGACACGUUAGGUGCCAGUGUACGCCAGGCACUCUUGUUAAUGCUGGUAAGUACACUUCUAUUUUUAGUUUAAGUUCAUGGUUGAGGAGCUACUAUC
rnacentral:lncRNA from 1 species